rnacentral:rRNA from 1 species
GUGGGGAGCAAACCGGAUUAGAUACCCGGGUAGUCCACGCAGUAAACGAUGUCGGCUCGGUGUCCGGGGGUGCAAUAGCACCGCUGGGUGCCCAAGCUCACGCGGUAAGCCGACCGCCUGGGGACUACGAGCGCAAGCUUAAAACUCAAAGGAAUUGACGGGGGCCCGCACAAGCAGCGGAGCGUGUGGUUUAAUUCGACGCAACGCGAAGAACCUUACCCAGGUACGGGAGGCAGCAGCAAGCGCACAGAAAUGUGUGACCUUCGAGGGUGCUGCACAGGUGCUGCAUGGCUGUCGUCAGCUCGUGUCGUGAG